rnacentral:rRNA from 1 species
GUGGGGAAUUUUGGACAAUGGGCGCAAGCCUGAUCCAGCAAUGCCGCGUGCAGGAAGAAGGCCUUCGGGUUGUAAACUGCUUUUGUACGGAACGAAACGGUCCUGGUUAAUACCCGGGGCUAAUGACGGUACCGUAAGAAUAAGCACCGGCUAACUACGUGCCAGCAGCCGCGGUAAUACGUAGGGUGCAAGCGUUAAUCGGAAUUACUGGGCGUAAAGCGUGCGCAGGCGGUGCUGUAAGACAGGCGUGAAAUCCCCGGGCUUAACCUGGGAAUUGCGCUUGUGACUGCAGUGCAGGAGUGCGGCAGAGGGGGAUGGAAUUCCGCGUGUAGCAGUGAAAUGCGUAGAUAUGCGGAGGAACACCGAUGGCGAAGGCAAUCCCCUGGGCCUGCACUGACGCUCAUGCACGAAAGCGUGGGGAGCAAACAGGAUUAGAAACCCCAGUAGUCC